ACAGGCAAAGGGCCUCCCUGGUGGCACAGUGGUUGGGAAUCCGCCUGCCAAUACAGGGGACACAGGUUCGAGCCCUGGUCCUGGAAGAUCACACAUGCCACAGAGCAACUAAGCCCGUGCACCACAACUACUGAGCCUGCACUCUAGAACCUGCGAGCCACAACUACUGAAGCCUGUGCACCUAGAGCCUGUGCUCCGCAACAAGAGAAGCCACCACAAUGGGAAGCCCGCGCACCGCAACGAAGAGUAGCCCCCGCUCACCACAACUAGAGAAAGCCUGUGCGCAGCAACGAAGACCCAACAUAGUCAAAAAAACAAAACAAAACAAAACAAAAAACACCAAAAAAUAAAAAAACUGAGUCAGAGGACCUGAAUAGACAUUUUUCCAGAAAAAGACAUACAAAUAACCAACAGGUACAUGAAAAGAUGCUCAACAUCACUAAUCAUCAGGGAAAUGUACAUUAAAUCACAAUGAGAUAUCAUCUCACAUUGUUAGAAUAGCUAUCAUCAAAAACACAGGAAAAAAAGGUAAGAGAUAAGUGUUGGUGAGGAUUUGGAGACAGGGAACCCUUAAGCACUUUUGGUGGGAAAGUAAUCUGUUGCAGUCACUGUGGAAAACGGUAUGGCGGUUCCUCAAAAAAAUAAAAAUAGAAUGAUCAUAUCCAGUAAUCUCACUUCUGGGUAUAUGUUCAAAGGAAACGAAAUUAUUAUUUUGCAGCGACAUCUGCAACUCCAUGUUCAUUGCAGCAUAAUUCAUAAUAGCCAAGACAUGGAAACAACCUGAGUGUCCAUCAUUGGAAGGAUUGUAAGGAGUAUAUAUACACAUAUGUGUGUGUAUAUAUAUAUAUAUAUAUAUAUAUAUAUAUAUGUAUAUGUAUAUGUGUAUACACACACAGAGUGGAAUAUUACUCAGCCAUAAAAAAGGAAAUCCUGCUAUUUGAGACAACAUGGUGGGACUUUGAGGGCGUUGUGCUAAUGCAAUAAGUCAGAUAGAGAAAGACAAAUACUGUACGAUCUCACUUAUAUGUGGAAUCUAAAAAAGCCAAACUUGUAGAAACAGAGAGGAGAAUAUUAGCUGACAGGAGCUGGGGUUGGGGGAAAUGUGGAGAUGUUGGUAAAAGGAUAGAAGCUUCCCUUUAUAAGAUGAAUAAGUUCUGGGAAUCUAGCGGACAGUAUGGUGACUAUAGUAACAAUACUGUAUUAUACACUUGAAAGCUGCUCUAAUAGAGUAGAUCUUGAAAGUUAUAACCACAAAAUGAAAAAUGGUAGUUAUUGUACUAAUCGUUUUGCAAUAUUUACAUGUAUCAAGUUAUCAUAUUUUAUACCUUAAACUUACAAAUAUGUCAAUUAUAUGUCUAAAAAGCUGGAAAAAAAGAGUUCCUGGUUUUUUUUAGGAUGGGGAAAUGUUAUAUUGGGAGGAGCAGAAGCUUCUGGGUAUGGAGAGCCUGGGUAUUGAGGCUUCGCUGGGCUAAGUCAGGCUGCUCAAGAGGGCUGAAGACCCCAUGGAUUCGGUGACUAUAGUUAAUGAUACUGUAUUGUGUAUUUGGACAGUUGCUAAGAGAGUAGAUCUUAAAAGUUCUCGUCACAAGAAAAAAAACUGGGGACUUCCCUGGCAGUCCAGUGUUUAGGACUCUGCGCUUCCAAUGCAGGGGACAAUGGCUCAAUCCCUGGUAGGGGAAAUAAGAUCCCACAUGCCUCGCAGUUCGGCCAACGAAUUAAAUAAACAAACAAGAAAAAAAAUUGUAACUACAGUGUGAUGGAUGUUAAGUAGACUCAUGGUGAUCCUUUUGCAACAUAUACAUUCAGUAGUCCCCUGUUAUCUGCAGUCUUGCUUUCCCGAGUUUCAGUUACCCAUGGUCAACUUUGGUCUGAAAAUGCUAAAUGGAAAAUUCCAUAAAUAAAUAAUUCUUAAGUUUUAAAUUGUGUACCAUUCUUUUUUUUUUUUUUGGCCAUGCUACACGGCUUGCGGGAUCUUAGUACCCCUACCAAGGAUGGAACCUACGCCCCCUGCAGUGGAAGCGUGGAGCCUCAACCGCUGGACCUCCAGGGAAUUCCCAAAUUGUGUGCCAUCCUGAGUAGGGUGAUGAAAUCUUGCACCUUCCUGCUUCAUCCAACCCUGGGAUGUGAAUCAACCCUGUGUGCAGUGUAUCCAGCUUUUUUUAGAAGGAUGAAUCCAGUUUUUGUGAAGCUGAAGGACGCAACUGUUGCCACCUUUAUUUAAAUGUUCAGGAUAUAAGAGAAUGGCAUUGUUUGGCUUACCUGCCCCUGUCUCCCCAGCUGUCUCUCUCUUUUGAUUCAACUCCAGUAAACGUGUGAGGAUGGUUUGCGAUGGGAAAGAAAAUAAGGGCAUCCAAAUGUGAAAGGAAGAGGCAAAACUGACACUACAUAAAACCCUAAAGACUUUACCAAAAAAUUGUUAGAAUAAUAAACUCAGCAAAGUUGCAGGACGUAAAAUCUAUAUACAAAAAUCAGUUGCAUUUCUAUACACUGACAACGAACUGCCAUAAGGAGAAAUUAAGAAAACAAAUCUAUUUACAAUUGCACCAAAAGAAUAAAAUAUCUAGGAAUAAAUUUAACCAAGGAGAUGAAAGACCUGUACAUUGAAAACUCUAAGAUAUUGAAGACGACACAAAUAAAUGGAAAGAUAUUUGGUGCUCAUGGAUUGGAAGAUCUAAUAUUAUUAACAUGUCAAUACUACCCAAAGCAGUUGCAGAUUCACUGCAAUCCUUAUGAAAACUCCAAUGGAAAUUUUCACAGAUACAGAACAAACAAUCCUAAAAUUUGCACGGAACCACAAAAGACCCUGAAUAACCAAAGCAAUCUUGAGGAAGAAUAACAAAGCUGGAGGUGUCAUGCUUCCUGAUUUCAAACUAUAUUACAGAGCCAUAUUAAUAAAAACAAUAUGGUAUUAAUAUAAAAAUGGACACAGAGAUCAAUGGAACAGAAUAGACAACCCAGAAAUAAACCUAAAUUUGUAUGGUCAAUUAGUUUUUGACAAAGGAGCCAAGAAUAUACAAUGGGGAAAGGACAGUCUUUUCAAUUAAUGGUGUUGAGAAAACUGGACAGUUACAUACAAAAGAAUGAAACUGGACUACUAUCUUACACUAUUCACAAAAAUUAACUCAAAAUAGAUAAAAGACUUGAUCAUAAGUUCUGAAGCCAUAAAAAUCCUAGAAGAAAAAAUAGAAAACAGAAAGGCCUUGACAUCAGUCUUCGUGAUGAUUUUUUGGAUUUGAUGCCAAAAGCAAAGGCAACAAGAACAAAAAUAAGCAGGUAGGGCUACAUAAAACUAAAAAGCCUCUGCACAGUAAAGGAAACCAUCAACAAACUGAAAAGUCAGCCUAUGGAAUUGGAGAGAAUAUUUGCAAACUAUCUUUCUGAUAAGGGUUAACAUCCAAAAUACAUAAAGAUUUAUCCUGUAUGGGACUCUGUGCUUCCUGGACUUGAUUAACUAUUUACUUUCCCAUAUUAGGAAAGUUUUCAACUAUACUCUUUUCAAAUAUUUUCUCAGUCCCUUUUUUUCUCUAUUCUUCUUCUGGGACCCCUAUAAUUCGAAUGUUGGUGCAUUUAAUGUUGUCCCAGUGGUCUCUGAGACUGUCCUCAGUUCUUUUCAUUCUUUUUUCUUUAUUCUGCUCUGCAGUAGUUAUUUCCACUAUUUUAUCUUCCAGGUCACUUAUCCGUUCUUCUGCCUCAGUUAUUCUAUUGAUCCCUUCUAGAGAAUUUUUAAUUUCAUUUAUUGUGUUGUUCAUCGUUGCUUGUUUCCUCUUUAGUUCUUCUAGGUCCUUGUUAAAUGUUUCUUGCAUUUUCUCUAUUCUAUUUCCAAGAUUUUGGAUCAUCUUUACUAUCAUUAUUCUGAAUUCCUUUUCCUCUUCAUUUGUUAGGUCUGGUGGGUUUUUACCUUGCUCCUUCAUCUGCUGUGUGUUUUUCUGUCUUCUCAUUUUGCUUAUCUUACUGUGUUUGGGGUCUCUUUUUCGCAGGCUGCAGGUUCGUAGUUCCCAUUGUUUUUGGUGUCUGUCCCCAGUGGCUAAAGUUGGUUCAGUGAGUUGUGUAGGCUUCCUGGUGGAGGGGACUAAUGCCUGUGUUCUGGUGGUUGAGGCUGGAUCUUGUCUCUCUAGUGGGCAGGUCCAAGUCUGGUGGUCUGUUUUGGGGUGUCUGUGGCCUUAUUAUGAUUUUAGGCAGCCUCUCUGCUAAUGGGUGGGGUUGUGUUCCUGUCUUGCUAGUUGUUUGGCAUAGGGUGUCCAGCACUGUAGCUUGCUGGUCGGUGAGUGAAGCUGGGUGUUGGUGUUGAGAUGGAGAUCUCUGGGAAAUUU